ACAAUGUCUUUAAAAACAGCAGGUGCAGUGGUUCACAUCUGUAAGCCCAGCAUUUUGGGGGUUCAGGGCAGGAGGAUCAGUUGAGGCCAGGAGCUUAAGACCAGCAUGGAAACAUAGCAAGAUCCUGUCUCUACAAAAAAAAUUUAAAACUUAAAAUUACACAAAAUUUGUCAUCUGUACCAGCUUUUAGAACUGAUUAUUUUAUCCUCCUCAGUGAUCUAUCAUGAAGUUGUGUACUUUGCUUAAAAUGCCCAGUUGCCUGAAAUUGUAUAAAUUCUUGCUUAAAGUGUUUGAACUUAAAACAAAGUUCCCAUCUCUUACCCCUUAGCACUGUGCUUACCUUUAGGAGACCUAGUCCCAGUUUUUUAUUUUACUUAAUGCUCUUAGUGAAUAUGUGUAGACCUCAUAUGGUGGGUAAGAGAAUACUGCAUUCAGUUAGAAAAGACGAUAUAUGGAGUUUCUCUAGUCCACGUUCACAGCCAUGCCGUCCAAGGGUCCGCUGCAGUCUGUGCAGGUUUUUGGAUGCAAGAAGACAGCUACAGCUGUUGCGCACUGCAAACACGGCAAUGACCUUAUCAAGGUGAACGGGCGGCCCCUGGAGAUGAUCGAGCCGCAUACCCUCCAAUACAAGCUGCUGGAGCCAGUUCUGCUACUCGGCAAGGAGCGAUUUGCUGGUGUAGAAAUCCGGGUCCAUGUGAAGGGUGGUGGUCACAUGGCCCAGAUUUAUGCUAUCCGUCAGUCCAUCUCCAAAGCCCUGAUGGCCUAUUACCAGAAAUAUGUGAAUGAGGCUUCCAAGAAGGAGAUCAAAGACAUCCUCAUCCAGUACGAUCGGACCCUGCUGGUAGCUGAUCCUCGGCGCUGUGAAUCCAAAAAGUUUGGAGGCCCUGGUGCUCAUGCUCGCUACCAGAAAUCCUACCGAUAAGCGCAUCCUGAUGAUCAAAGUUCACCUGUAUAAUAAAGUUCUUGAGGGAUUUUACUGU